ACGCUGGCGGCAUGCUUUACACAUGCAAGUCGGACGGCAGCACAGAGAAGCUUGCUUCUUGGGUGGCGAGUGGCGAACGGGUGAGUAACAUAUCGGAACGUACCGAGUAGUGGGGGAUAACUGAUCGAAAGAUCAGCUAAUACCGCAUAGUCUUGAGAGGGAAAGCAGGGGACCUUCGGGCCUUGCGCUAUUCGAGCGGCCGAUAUCUGAUUAGCUAGUUGGUGGGGUAAAGGCCUACCAAGGCGACGAUCAGUAGCGGGUCUGAGAGGAUGAUCCGCCACACUGGGACUGAGACACGGCCCAGACUCCUACGGGAGGCAGCAGUGGGGAAUUUUGGACAAUGGGCGCAAGCCUGAUCCAGCCAUGCCGCGUGUCUGAAGAAGGCCUUCGGGUUGUAAAGGACUUUUGUCAGGGAAGAAAAGGCUGUUGCUAAUAUCAGCGGCUGAUGACGGUACCUGAAGAAUAAGCACCGGCUAACUACGUGCCAGCAGCCGCGGUAAUACGUAGGGUGCGAGCGUUAAUCGGAAUUACUGGGCGUAAAGCGAGCGCAGACGGUUACUUAAGCAGGAUGUGAAAUCCCCGGGCUCAACCUGGGAACUGCGUUCUGAACUGGGUGACUAGAGUGUGUCAGAGGGAGGUAGAAUUCCACGUGUAGCAGUGAAAUGCGUAGAGAUGUGGAGGAAUACCGAUGGCGAAGGCAGCCUCCUGGGAUAACACUGACGUUCAUGCUCGAAAGCGUGGGUAGCAAACAGGAUUAGAUACCCUGGUAGUCCACGCCCUAAACGAUGUCAAUUAGCUGUUGGGCAACUUGAUUGCUUAGUAGCGUAGCUAACGCGUGAAAUUGACCGCCUGGGGAGUACGGUCGCAAGAUUAAAACUCAAAGGAAUUGACGGGGACCCGCACAAGC
rnacentral:rRNA from 1 species